rnacentral:misc_RNA from 1 species
CCAAACUUGGUCAUUUAGAGGAAGUAAAAGUCGUAACAAGGUCUCCGUUGGUGAACCAGCGGAGGGAUCAUUAUCGAGUGUAAAAACUCCCUAAAACCCAUGUGAACAUUACCUAUUGUUGCCUCGGCGGGAUGCUGAAAAGGCUCUCCCGCCAGAGGACCCAAACUCUUGAUUUUUUUCUGCGGAAUUUUCUGAGUCGCGCAAGCAAAUAAAUCAAAACUUUCAACAACGGAUCUCUUGGUUCUGGCAUCGAUGAAGAACGCAGC